rnacentral:rRNA from 1 species
AACGUAGGUGGCAAGCGUUAUCCGGAAUUACUGGGCGUAAAGGGUGUGCAGGCGGGGGAACAAGUGGUGUAUGAAAUCUCCCAGCUUAACUGGGAUAGGUUAUGCCAGACUGUUCUUCUAGAGGACGAGAGAGGGGGGUGGAAUUCCGGGUGUAGUGGUGAAAUGCGUAGAGAUCCGGAGGAACCCCAGAGGCGAAGGCGGCCCCCUGGCUCGUACCUGACGCUGAGGCACGAAGGCCAGGGGAGCAAACGGG